UAAUAGCCCUGAUAGAAGUGGAAAUCCUUUUGCUUUUUUCUUUAAAAAGCAAAAGAUUGAAACGGAUAGCAGGAAUAGCU
rnacentral:sRNA from 1 species